rnacentral:lncRNA from 1 species
GUCAGUUUUAAACUCCUGACAACGUCCAUCUAUAUAUAGGUCUCUGUUAGUAGUUUGACUUGGAUUUGUCACUCAUACAAUUCAGUCCUUCAUGUGGCAAAAUGGAAUUUUCCUGCCUUUGACCCUUUUUGUGAUUUGGCACUUACCUUACUCCCUCUGGGGUCCAGGCUCAUGAAAAGUUAAGCUAAUAGGAGGGGAUCUUUGUUAAGAUGGAGAAGGGAGACAGGGAAUCUGUGUGUAGUUAGAAUUCUGGAAGGAAAUGGGUAGGGUCAUUAAGGACAGCAUGACAGAUUAUUUCCACGGGUGCUAGAUGAGUAAAGAUCUGCCAACAUCAGUGCAGACCAUUGCCAAACAUAGGCCUGAAGGGCAAAAGGACUGAUGGCCAGAAUCCAGAAGACACCUGACAGUAUGGCCUUUGGAAGACACAAUCAGUUUUGAAUUCAGCUUUCUCUGACACACACAAGUUCCUCAUGGCAUAUGUGAACAAGCAAACUGAGGAUGGUUGUUACCAACAGAUGGAGGAGUGGAUAGUAGAUAGGGAGCCCCAGUGCUCACUACAUCCCUCAUUUUGAGUGUAUCAGCCCUCAGAGAUACGUGAGGGAGGGAUGUGCCUGCAACUCAGAGAAGAGCCCAUGCAUGAGAACAAAGAGCUUCUACAUCCUAUAUUCUAAGCUAUAUCUUAAGCUUCUACAGUCAAAAGCUAUCUCAGCUGAAGACCAAGAAGAUUUGAUGUACUUGCACAUCUUGCAGCAGAGAGAACAGAUGCAUCCUCAGAAGAUGAGAGCCAUUCCGAAGAGGCAUUUCCCUGUUUUUGCCAAGAGUGUACAAAACAAUUAAUGAACUGUGGCUCCAGUACCUUGGCUACCAGAUGGGAAGAGCUGAUUCAUUGGAAGAGACCCUGAUGCUAGGAAAGAUUGAGGGCAGGAGGAGAAUGGCGUGAUAGUGGAUGAGAUGUUUAGAUUACAUCACUGACUCAGUGAAUAUGAGUUUGAGCAAACUCCAGGAAAUAGUAGAGGACAGGGAAGCCUGGCAUGCCACAGUCAUGGAUCACAAAGAGUCAGAUACAACUUAGCAACUAAACAACAAUUAUUUGAUUUAUUCAAAAGGUUUUUUUUUUUUUUUUUUUGGCCUCAGUAUUGUGUUAGAGAUUCAUUUUAGAGCCCUUGAUAUAUUUAUCACAUUAAAAAAAUAAUACAGUUCAAAAGUCCUUAAGAAACUUUUAUCCAGGCCUUAACUUUCUAUUCCCUGGUGGCCAAAUAUUACCAACAUGAUUGUGGGGGAAUCCUACAGAAGCUAGCUAUGUGAUGACUUGAUUGUGACAAUGUGCUAACUUCUCUUGAAAGCCAAAUCUAUUCAGUGAAAUUCUAUCACAUACACAAAGGGGUAAGGACUAAAAACCAUACCUAUCCAGUAGAGGCAGGCAAUCUCUGAAAUCUAGACAGACUUUAAAUUUAUGCUUAGUGGGGCUUUCAUUGC